UUCGUUGCACUAUCGUUAACUGAAUACAUAGGUUAACGAGGCGAACCGGGGGAACUGAAACAUCUAAGUACCCCGAGGAAAAGAAAUCAACCGAGAUUCCCCCAGUAGCGGCGAGCGAACGGGGAGCAGCCCAGAGUCUGAAUCAGCUUGUGUGUUAGUGGAACGGUCUGGAAAGUCCGACGGUACAGGGUGAUAGUCCCGUACACCAAAAUGCACAGGCUGUGAACUCGAAGAGUAGGGCGGGACACGUGGUAUCCUGUCUGAAUAUGGGGGGACCAUCCUCCAAGGCUAAAUACUCCUGACUGACCGAUAGUGAACCAGUACCGUGAGGGAAAGGCGAAAAGAACCCCGGCGAGGGGAGUGAAAAAGAACCUGAAACCGUGUACGUACAAGCAGUGGGAGCACCUUCGGGUGUGACUGCGUACCUUUUGUAUAAUGGGUCAGCGACUUAUAUUCUGUAGCAAGGUUAACCGUAUAGGGGAGCCGCAGGGAAACCGAGUCUUAACUGGGCGUUAAGUUGCAGGGUAUAGACCCGAAACCCGGUGAUCUAGCCAUGGGCAGGUUGAAGGUUGGGUAACACUAACUGGAGGACCGAACCGACUAAUGUUGAAAAAUUAGCGGAUGACUUGUGGCUGGGGGUGAAAGGCCAAUCAAACCGGGAGAUAGCUGGUUCUCCCCGAAAGCU
rnacentral:rRNA from 1 species